rnacentral:rRNA from 1 species
AGCCGACCUUGAAAUACCACCCUUUAAUGUUUGAUGUUCUAACGUGGACCCGUAAUCCGGGUUGCGGACAGUGUCUGGUGGGUAGUUUGACUGGGGCGGUCUCCUCCUAAAGAGUAACGGAGGAGCACGAAGGUUGGCUAAUCCUGGUCGGACAUCAGGAGGUUAGUGCAAUGGCAUAAGCCAGCUUGACUGCGAGCGUGACGGCGCGAGCAGGUGCGAAAGCAGGUCAUAGUGAUCCGGUGGUUCUGAAUGGAAGGGCCAUCGCUCAACGGAUAAAAGGUACUCCGGGGAUAACAGGCUGAUACCGCCCAAGAGUUCAUAUCGACGGCGGUGUUUGGCACCUCGAUGUCGGCUCAUCACAUCCUGGGGCUGAAGUAGGUCCCAAGGGUAUGGCUGUUCGCCAUUUAAAGUGGUACGCGAGCUGGGUUUAGAACGUCGUGAGACAGUUCGGUCCCUAUCUGCCGUGGGCGCUGGAGAACUGAGGGGGGCUGCUCCUAGUACGAGAGGACCGGAGUGGACGCAUCACUGGUGUUCGGGUUGUCAUGCCAAUGGCACUGCCCGGUAGCUAAAUGCGGAAGAGAUAAGUGCUGAAAGCAUCUAAGCACGAAACUUGCCCCGAGAUGAGUUCUCCCUGAGACUUAGAGUCUCCUGAAGGAACGUUGAAGACGACGACGUUGAUAGGCCGGGUGUGUAAGCGCAGCGAUGCGUUGAGCUAACCGGUACUAAUGAACCGUGAGGCUUAACCUU